CCCGGGAAAAAGGGGGGCAAACCCCUUGGGCAUUUAUGUUGGCCAGCAGAGGUCAAUUUUCGGGCAACUCUAAGUUGGAACUGCCUCCGGAAUAAACGGGGAGGAAAGGUUGGGGAUGACGUCAAGUCAGCACGGCCUUUAUGUGCCAGGGCUACACACGUGCUACAAUGGGCGGUACAGAGGGAAGCAAGACCGCGAGGUGGAGCCAAUCCCUAAAACCGUUCUCAGUUCGGAUCGCAGGCUGCAACUCGCCUGCGUGAAGCCGGAAUCGCUAGUAAUCGCGGAUCAGCUACGCCGCGGUGAAUACGUUCUCGGGCCUU
rnacentral:rRNA from 1 species